AAAAUAAACUAUUUGGCAGGCAUAAUCACAUGUAAAACUGUAUAUUUUAUAAUUCCUAGACAUGCGUUUAAAUUUACAGUUUGAUCUAGCAAAACAAAAUUCAUAAAGUUUUAAACCAAUAACAAAUGCCAGAUCGUUGAAAGCCAAUCAUCACAAAGGGUGCUUACUAAGAAAGAGUCUAAACAAUUAUUAGGUAGAGAAAGAAUGUUACCACCCAGUAAAACGCAAAGCGUAUUGCCCUCUACGAAGGAUCUUCUUCAGCCAACAAAAAUUUGUCCAGGGUGUAAAGAGAGGAUAGAGGGAACUUGGUUCUGUGCCUUAGGGCAGUACUGGCAUCAGGAACACUUUCGGUGCACGCAUUGCAAUGUAAUGCUCACUGGGAAGAAUUACAGAGUGAAGAAUAACAAAAUUUACUGCAUGAAAGAUUAUUUCCGUAUCUUCAAGAAACAUCAUUUAUGGGCUUUAUCUAUUUUUAAGGAGUAUUAUAUGAUGUAUCACAAUGCCUUGUUUCAAUAAAAAAUAGAAAUUUUUGUUUGUUUGGGGAAUUUAA
rnacentral:misc_RNA from 1 species